rnacentral:rRNA from 1 species
AUUGAACGCUGGCGGCAUGCCUUACACAUGCAAGUCGAACGGCAGCACGGGGGCGAACCCUGGUGGCGAGUGGCGAACGGGUGAGUAAUACAUCGGAACGUGCCCCGUACGCGGGGGACGAACCAGUCGAAAGACUGGCUAAUACCGCAUACGCUCCACGGAGGAAAGACAGGGGAGUCGCAAGACCUUGCACUAUGGGA